UCCUCCUCCUCGCUGCUCCGCCGCCCCGAGUUCGACAACUUCACCUUCCUCACGCUCGAGUCCCGCGCGUGGCCGUGGCAGGAGCACGCCGUGCCGCACCCGACGUCCUUCCACCCAUCGUCGCUCCCGCGGCUCCGCGCAUGGAUCGCCCGCGCGCGCCGCUCGCGCCGCACGGCGCUGAUGCUCUACGCCGGCACCGUGUCCAGGCCGUCCCGCCCCAACAUCCGGAGCUUCAUCCUCGCCGAGUGCGCGAACCGCACCGACACAUGCACCGUCGUCGACUGCCAUGGCGGGUCCUGCGCGCUCGACCCGGUGCGCUCCAUGCGGCCCAUGCUGAAGGCCAAGUUCUGCCUGGAGCCGCCGGGGGACACGUCGACGCGGCGUUCGACGUUCGACGCGGUGGUGGCCGGGUGCGUGCCGGUGUUCUUCGAGGACGCGUCGGCAAGGACGCAGUACGGGUGGCACCUGCCGCCGGGGAGGUACGAGGAGUUCUCGGUGACCAUACCCAAGGACGCGGUGAUGCUGGGGGGCGUGCAGAUCAUGGAGACCCUGGCGGCGGUGCCGGAGGAGGAGGUGGCCAGGAUGCGGGAGCGGCUUCUGGAGCUGGCGCCGAGGGUGGUCUACCGGCGGCACGGGAGCGCGGCAGAGAGGAUGAGGGAGGCGAGCAUGGACGCCGUGGACAUCGCCGUCGAGGGCGCGCUACGGAGGAUACGGAGGCGGGUGCGUGCUCUGAAGGAUGGUCAGCCGGAGGCCAUUUACGCGAUGGACGACGACGACCAAGAGAUCUAG
rnacentral:rRNA from 1 species